UACGGGGGGAGCAAGCGUUGUUCGGAUUUACUGGGCGUAAAGGGCGCGUAGGCGGCCUCCGCAAGUCAGUUGUGAAAUCUCCGAGCUUAACUCGGAAAGGUCAACUGAUACUGCGGGGCUAGAGUGCGGAAGGGGCAACUGGAAUUCUCGGUGUAGCGGUGAAAUGCGUAGAUAUCGAGAGGAACACCUGCGGCGAAGGCGGGUUGCUGGGCUGAUACUGACGCUGAGGCGCGAAAGCCAGGGGAGCGAACGGG
rnacentral:rRNA from 1 species